rnacentral:rRNA from 1 species
ACGAACGCUGGCGGCGUGCUUAACACAUGCAAGUCGAACGGAAAGGCCCUGCUUUUGGGGGGUGCUCGAGUGGCGAACGGGUGAGGAACACGGGAGUAACCUGCCCUUGACUUUGGGAUAACGUCAGGAAACUGGGGCUAAUACCGGAUAGGAGCUCCUGCUGCAUGGGGGGGGUUGGAAAGUUUCGGCGGUUGGGGAUGGCCUCGCGGCUUAUCAGCUUGUUGGGGGGGUAGUGGCUUACCAAGGCUUUGCCGGGUAGCCGGCCUGGGAGGGUGACCGGCCACAUUGGGACUGAGAUACGGCCCAGACUCCUACGGGAGGCAGCAGUGGGGAAUAUUGCACAAUGGGCGGAAGCCUGAUGCAGCAACGCCGCGUGCGGGAUGACGGCCUUCGGGUUGUAAACCGCUUUCGCCUGUGACGAAGCGUGAGUGACGGUAAUGGGUAAAGAAGCACCGGCUAACUACGUG